CGCCUCCCGCCGCAGUGCCCGACGGGAGGCGGAGCCGCGAACGAGGGUGUCGGCCAUUUUGUGUCUGUUUCCUGUGGGACGCGGUGGGAGCCGU
rnacentral:pre_miRNA from 14 species